GUCUUUCUUUUGCCAUUUAAUUUUCGGAAUACAAAGAAUUUGGAAUUGAUUGAUAGUAUAAGUUGAAAUGAAGAUUCAAACAAAGAAGAAUGGAAAAAGAAAUGGGAGUUGAACCCGACGUGAAUCGAACACGCAACCUUCUGAUCUGGAGUCAGACGCGCUACCAUUGCGCCACGGAUCCACUUCAUGUGCAUUGAUUUCAAGUUAUUAAUCAGUAAAAUUUUGAUCGUUUCGGUAAAUUUAUAUUUCUUCGGUUCCCGCGUCUUUUGAUUUGAUGGUCGAAGCUCCAUCCCUGGGUAUGGAAUUCAAUAGGGUUUUGCUGGAUUUUCAAUUCCAAUCCAAGAUGCCGUUUCUAGACUUUAAUUUGCGCCCCAUUCGAAUAAUCUCCUAAUUUUUAUUCUUCGUUUGCACGAUGUUGAUAAGUCUACUCUAAGACUUGAAGUUUCAUCUGGAACUGCGAUGCUAGAUUGUUGCUUCCAGGAUGAAUCAUUAGCUUUCAACGCUGCUUCUGAUGGCUGCAUAAAAUUUUCUCAUUAAAUUGGACAGCAAGGAGAUAACGAUCUGCCAAAACAAUUCUCUACUAUAUUCAGAAUGUCUACGUCCAAUUAUUGUACUUUUGUUUGGGGCAAUCUUGUAACUUGGAGGAGUAAGAAGCAAAGUGUUGUGGUCAGGAGCAGUGCUGAGGCUGAAUACAGAGCUAUGAGUCUGGGAAUAUGUAAGGAAAUUUGGCUCCAGAAAGUCUUGUCAGAUCUUUAUCAGGAAUGUGAGACACUAUUGAAGCUUUUUUGUGAUAAUAAAGCCGCUAUUAGUAUUGCUAACAAUCCAGUUCAACAUUAUAGAACUAAACAUAUUGAGAUUGAUCGGCAUUUCAUCAAAGAAAGACUUGACAGUGGAAGCAUAUGCAUUCCGUACAUUCCUUCAAGCCAACAGAUUGCUGAUGUUCUUACCAAGGGGCUUCUCAGACCACACUUCGACCUUUGUGUUAGCAAGUUGGGACUCAUUGAUAUUUACGUCCCAACUUGAGGGGGAGUGUUAGAAUUAGUAGGGUUUUGGCCUAGAGUACUUUUGGAAAGAAUAAUAUAUAAGAUUUUAUUUCCUAAAUAUUUCUAAGAUCUUUUCCUUUUUUAUUCCUAUUGUACUCUAUUUAUUCUCCCUUUGUACCUAUUGUAUUCAGUUCAUAAGAAAAAUAAUAAAAGCUAAAGUAUCGUGAUUUUUCUCUCGGUUCUCGGGUUUUCACGUAAGUCUCGGGUUGUUAAUUGCUUUCAAUAGUUGGAGUCACCAACUUUCAUCCAGAGCCAAAUUCAAAAUCUUAGAAAAGAUUUUGCGUGUCAAAUGGUAGGAUAAGUACGACUACUCCCGCUUGAAUGAGGAACAAAUAGCAAAAUGGUUUAAAACCAACGCUCACCUCUCCCGAGAAGAAGAAGAUCAGUUUCUUCUCGCAAAGAAUUCAAUCAUGACGUCAAUUGCUGGAGCUAAGUCUGAAGCAGACCUCCAGGCAGUCAUGGAAACAGUCGUCAACAAUAAUUCUGAUGACAACAAACAAGAUGACCCUGAAGGCAUCAUUAAUCUCUCAGAUUCAUCUGGCAACGAUAUCGAUUUUGCAAAUGACCCUUAUUACAAUUUCGAUAUUUUUUAUCCCUAUUUGGAUUCCUAACCACGAUGAAGAAUAGGUUAUUACCAUUGUAAAUUAUUAUUAAAAAAAAAGUACAUAAAUAAAUUUGUCUUCCAUUUUCCAGUCUAACAAUGUAAUCAUCGAUUUGGGUGAUCUCCGAUUGAAGGGGAGGUGAUGGAGAUGACAGGUGACUGAAGCGACGUGACCAACCGCAGGCCAGCGCAGUUAGCGAGAAUUGUUUCCGGUCAGGAAUUCUUACCGCGACCAAUAGAAUCAACGAGAUAGAAUGCUUGGGCAAUUGAUGGCGGGGAAGCCGAAAGUAAGUCCCUGGAUGCAUCCUAUCCCAAAGAAUCAUCAGUAGUCGCAUGGUCAGAUCAAUCUAGGUCAUUCAGACAAAGUUGGGUGACGUCAUCUUCCUUAAAGAAGAAAUUACCAAAAGAGGCUUGAAGACAUUGGCAGACAUAUUUUUUCAGCUUUUCUUUAGUUUGCAUAACUAUAUUUUGUUUGUUUACCUUUUGCUUUUUCUAAGCAUCUUUUUAGAUUACAAGAAGAUAAGGAUAAGUGGGAGUCUUGUCCCACCCAAAUCUUAUCGUAAUCCUUUAUUUUUUCAAAAAGAAAGAUAAGAUGCCAGACACUCUUGUCGGCCAUUCUUUUUUUUCUACUUUUGUAAAUUAUUGUUGAUACGUUCAACAACCUGUAUGGAUAAAUGAUAUCUCGGUGGGAGAUGCAUUUAUCUAUAUAAGGGAACGUCCCUCAACCUUGAAUGGUAUCAUAACAAAUUUCAAAGAAGUUCAAUUUUAAAGAUCUCA